rnacentral:rRNA from 1 species
UGACCGCUGGCGGCGUGCCUACUACAUGCAAGUCGAGCGAACGGACGAGAAGCUUGCUUCUCUGAUGUUAGCGGCGGACGGGUGAGUAACACGUGGAUAACCUACCUAUAAGACUGGGAUAACUUCGGGAAACCGUAGCUAAUACCGGAUAAUAUUUUGAACCGCAUGGUUCCAAAGUGAAAGACGGUCUUGCUGUCACUUAUAGAUGGAUCCGCGCUGCAUUAGCUAGUUGGUAAGGUAACGGCUUACCAAGGCAACGAUGCAUAGCCGACCUGAGAGGGUGAUCGGCCACACUGGAACUGAGACACGGUCCAGACUCCUACGGGAGGCAGCAGUAGGGAAUCUUCCGCAAUGGGCGAAAGCCUGACGGAGCAACGCCGCGUGAGUGAUGAAGGUCUUCGGAUCGUAAAACUCUGUUAUUAGGGAAGAACAUAUGUGUAAGUAACUGUGCACAUCUUGACGGUACCUAAUCAGAAAGCCACGGCUAACUACGUG